rnacentral:lncRNA from 1 species
CUUUUAUAUUGUUGAAUGAGGAAUUAGGAUGGUUUAGAUCCUGAUUGUUGUUAGGAUGAUAGAUCAUACUGCAUAAGAACGCUCAUACUGAUUAAGGACAGUAAAUGGAUUGAUUGUGGUGAUUGAAUGACGAAUGAUUGACUGGUCGAUGAUCUAUUCUUGUUUGUGGUUGAAAGCUAGGAUGCUUAGAAAGAAUUAAAAGUUAGGUUAAUAGUAAACGUUAACCGGUUGAUUAGAUG